rnacentral:rRNA from 1 species
GAGUCCGACUAAGCCAUGUCGAGUCCAGGUGCUUCGGCACCGGCGGACGGCUCAGUAACACGUGGACAACCUACCCUCGGGAGGGGGAUAACCCCGGGAAACUGGGAAUAAACCCCCAUAGGUCAUGGAGGCUGGAAGGCGCCAUGACCGAAAUUCCGAAAGGAGCCCGAGGAUGGGUCUGCGGCCUAUCAGGUUGUAGUGGGGAUAACGGCCCCACUAGCCUACGACGGGUACGGGCCCUGAGAGGGGGAGCCCGGAGAUGGACUCUGAGACACGAGUCCAGGCCCUACGGGGCGCAGCAGGCGCGAAAACUCCGCAAUGCUCGAAAGAGCGACGGGGGGACUCCGAGUGCCUACGCUCUGCGUAGGCUUUUCCCGAGCCUACAAAGCUCGGGGAAUAAGGGCUGGGUAAGACGGGUGCCAUCUGUGACGGCAGUCAAAGAUCUGGCUUGCCGUUGCAAGGCAUAAGCCGCCGCGGUAAUACCCGCAGCUCGAGUGGUGGCCGCUAUUAUUGGGCCUAAAGCGUCCGUAGCCGGUCUGGUAAAUGCCUGGGUAAAUCGUAGGGCUUAACCCUACGGCUCCCAGGUAGACUGCCAGACUUGGGACCGGAGGAGGGAGAGGGUACUCCAGGGGUAGGGGUGAAAUCAGCAGAGCAUCACUCUGAUGAUGUGAAUUGCUCUGCAAGUCACAAUCCUGUAAUCCCUGGAGGACCACCGGUGGCGAAGGCGCUCUCCUAGGACGGGUCCGACGGUGAGGGACGAAAGCCAGGGGAGCAAACCGGAUUAGAUACCCGGGUAGUCCUGGCCGUAAACGAUGUGGGCUUGGUAUUGGGAUGGCUACGAGCUGUCCCAGUGUCGUAGGGAAGCCGUUAAGCCCACCGCCUGGGGAGUACGGUCGCAAGGCUGAAACUUAAAGGAAUUGGCGGGGGAGCACUGCAACGGGAGGAGCGUGCGGUUUAAUUGGAUUCAACGCCGGAAAGCUUACCGGGGGAGACUGCCGUAUGUGGGCCAGGCUGAAGACCUUGCCCGAACAAUA